GUAGGUGAACCUGCGGAGGGAUCAUUAACACGUUUCCCAUAACGUUUCCACACCAAUCCGUGAACUUCUUAAAUCAUACCCCGACCUGGACAGAGAGAGAAUCCUGUCUUGAAGCGUGCUCAGUGUAAUGGGUAUACUUUCUUUUUCUUGUUGUGUGCAGCAAUGUCACAAUAAGUAAAAAGAAGUAUGCAGGGCGCAUUCAAGCGAGAAAGCUUCGAGCUUUCAAGGCCUCUCUCUGUUUGGGCUAAUACUUACCAUUACUUCCCCUCCAUUUCACUGGGAGUAAUGGCAACCCACAACCACUUUCACCCCUUUAUAACCACUUGACUGAUCAAUCUUUCUUUUGUCUUUGUUGCUCCGCAAGGAAUGACAAGAUAUACUGAAAGUCCUUAAUCAAAAUAUCUAAAGCACAACUCUUAGCAACGGAUAUCUUGGUUCUC
rnacentral:misc_RNA from 1 species